GUACGGCUUGUACCUGUGGAGAUUCCUGACUGUUGCUGUGAUCACAAUGAAUGGUGAGGGUGUGAAGAUAAACAUCUAUACAUGCUCUACUCCCAUAAGUUUGGCACAGGACGAUAUGAUCUAAGCAUGCCUGAGUUGAGUUGUGAGGCAUGCCAAGACACUUGGGCUGCUGGAGCGGUCGACCUAAAUCGAAGUGACUACUGGCCUGCGACUCUUCACUUUGCCAUAAUUUAUGCCACAGAUGUCUUUUUCUCAUUUGAAGAAAUGAAGAUGGCAGCACCAGGACUGUAAGAAUGCUGGAUCAGCGAACUGUCCGCUUCGGUCGUACUGGCAAGAUCUCCACAGACAGUUUUCAGAAAAGUGUUUUUGAGUGGGAGGCUGUGCGAUAUGAGGUGGACAAAAUCUGCAAGGAAGUGCCCUUCAUCUGUCCUGCGUGCACCCCAGAUAUGCUGGCAGUGUCAGUAGAUGGAAACCGCAAGCAUUACCGUUUCAAGAAUGCAGCUAGAUCUGAAGAACAGGCCAUCUUUGAAGACGUCUUUAUAGCUAAGGAUGAAGAUGUGACAAGAUUUGUGGACUACAUUCACAAGACAUCCAAACAUGUCAGUGGAAGAGGUGUUUGUGGAGGGGAGCGGUCAGCAGCCAGAGAGACCUCCCAAAGAUCAGCAAGCAAGGUAGACGAGGAGGGACUGGAGCUUGCGGUGUCGACACGGAGUGCUGCUCUGUGCUUUAAAUAUGUACAGGGGUGAAAUUUUUGCCUAUCCCCUGUACCUGCAAGAAAAGCUGGCCAGUAGGCAAAUCACUUUUUUUUGUAUGGAUGUGACCUGCAAAUAUUGUCCCUACCUCCAAAGAGUUGCAAAAAGCUGCCCAGAGCUCCAGCACCUUCUUAACAUGAAGCCCUUCCUUUCAGUCUUCCAUGCCAAAGCCCAUGACUUUAAAUGCGAGGUGAAAUGGAGUGGGCAUGUCAGGAUGGGGCUGGUUUAACACUGGGGGAGGAGGUGGAACAGUGCAAUGCUUUCCUGUCUAGGAUUGCGGUGACCACAAAACACGUCCAAACCAGGACGCACAGACAUGCUGACUCUCAUGGCCAGCAAAAGUUCAACAAUUUGGCCACCGCACUGACCCGCCGUUAUCAGAAG